rnacentral:rRNA from 1 species
CCUUUGACGUUAGCGGCGGACGGGUGAGUAACACGUGGGUAACCUACCUAUAAGACUGGGAUAACUUCGGGAAACCGGAGCUAAUACCGGAUAAUAUUUCGAACCGCAUGGUUCGAUAGUGAAAGGUGGUCUUGCUAUCACUUAUAGAUGGACCCGCGCCGUAUUAGCUAGUUGGUAAGGUAACGGCUUACCAAGGCGACGAUACGUAGCCGACCUGAGAGGGUGAUCGGCCACACUGGAACUGAGACACGGUCCAGACUCCUACGGGAGGCAGCAGUU